CUUUUCCCCUCUCCCUAUUUUUUUACAGUCUUUUCUUGCUUAAGUUCAAUGCUGUUGUUUCAUGGGGCUAAGUUCUUCCUGGCAGAAAUAUAAGGCUUCAGCAGAGCAUCCUCAGCAUCUUAAAAUCUUGAGAAACAAAACACAACAAAAACCCAAUCUGUUUUUCUUUUCUCUGGGAAGAAAGAAAAGUUACUUCUUGACAGUUCACAUUCCACAAAUAAGAGGAAGGAUAUUGUGGUUAACGUGGUUGUAAUUCUGGAAAGUGGCAAUACGAAUUACACUCUGGGAUUCUGUAUUUUAUUGUCUCUCACCAAUAUCUACAUUAAAUCUGCAUAGAUUAGAAGUAAAAAUAGGGCAACAAACUCUUAAAAAUUGCUUGUAGCUAUCAGCCACACAAACUCAGUUUGACAUGAGGAAAGUCAAACUUUGCUGUCUCUGGCCUAUGCGGCCCAACGGUAACGGUCCUGUUAGGCUUUAUUUCAUUACACUGUUGAUGAAGCAAGAACCAGACCAGGUCUAUUUCACUGGUAAGGGCUCAAGAAGAGGAAUGAGGAGUGACACAGACAUUUUUUAUUGUCAUAAAAAUAACCGCAUCUGACUGACAACAACACCCUUUUAUGGAGCAAUAUUUAGUAUUUUAAAGCAUGGAACAGGAUUUUGCAAUUCGUAUCUCCUGUCGCUCUGUUACUGAGAUGGGUGCAGGAACAGCGGCACAGAGGGAAGCGCUCCCGCAUCCUGCCCUUAGCGAAGCCCGCACACGGAGGCCCUGCCGGGGCAGGACGCGUUUUUAGCCACCUCUCCCUAGCCCGCACCAGCGAAACGCGCCUGAGGGCGCCGAGCGAGGCCGGGACAGCGCGCACUGCACCGCAGCCCCCGCUCCCCCACCAGCCGCGGGCCUCCCGUCGCGUGCAGCGCAGCGCAGGUUAAAGCGCACAAGGAGCUCGGCGGCUCGGCCCUGCUUCUGUUCCGAAAUCAUAAAACCUCCCGAUUUACGCAGCAGAGGACGCCGCGCAACAACAUGGAGGCGCGGGCGGGGCGCCGCCCCGCGCCGCCUUCCCUCCGCGGGGCCCUUCUCUACCUGCCCGGAGGCCCACCUCUAUGGUCGGGGAGAGGCG
rnacentral:lncRNA from 1 species